CACGUCCUUUUGAGAAUAAUUUAAGGUCUAAUCUGCUCAAUGAAAUAUAAAUAGCCGCAGUAUUUUGACUGUGCAAAGGUAGCAUAAUAAUUAGUUUCUUAGUUGGGAACUGGAAUGAAUGAUUGGACAAGAAAAUUUCUGUCUCUUUCUUAAAAUUAUUGAAUUUUAUUUUUAAGUGAAAAAGCUUAAAUUUUUAUAAAAGACGAGAAGACCCUAUAGAGUUUUAUAUUCUUUUAUAAUAAAAAUUUAGAAAAAUUGUUUAGAAAAGUUUAUUUGAUUGGGGUGAUUGAAAGAUUAAAAAAAUUCUUUUAUAAUUAAAUUGGAAAUUUUCAAUUUUUAAAUCUAUAAUUUAUAAAUUUAAAAUAAAUUACCUUAGGGAUAACAGCGUAAUAUUUCUUUAAAGUUCUUAUUAAAAGGAAAGUUUGCGACCUCGAUGUUGGAUUAAAAUUAAUUUUUGGUGCAAUAACUUAAAAAUUAGGUCUGUUCGACCUUUAAAAUUUUACAUGAUCUGAGUUUAGACCGGCGUGAGCCAGGUCGGAUUCUAUCUUUAGAAAAAAAAUAUGUUUUAGUACGAAAGGACCAAAUAUAUAUUAAAUUA
rnacentral:rRNA from 1 species